GACGAACGCUGGCGGCGUGCUUAACACAUGCAAGUCGAACGGUGAAGCGCCUUCCUUUUUGGUGGGUGUGGAUGAGUGGCGAACGGGUGAGUAACACGUGAGUAACCUGCCCCCUUCUUCUGGAUAACCGCAUGAAAGUGUGGCUAAUACGGGAUAUUCUGGGUCUGUCGCAUGAUGGGUCUGGGAAAGAUAUUGUUUCGGUGGGGGAUGGGCUCGCGGCCUAUCAGCUUGUUGGUGGGGUGAUGGCCUACCAAGGCGGUGACGGGUAGCCGGCCUGAGAGGGUGGACGGGCACACUGGGACUGAGACACGGCCCAGACUCCUACGGGAGGCAGCAGUGGGGAAUAUUGCACAAUGGGCGCAAGCCUGAUGCAGCGACGCCGCGGGAGGGAUGGAGGCCUUCGGGUUGUGAACCUCUUUCGCCAGUGAAGCAGGCCUGCCUCGUUUGUGGGUGGGUUGACGGUAGCUGGAUAAGAAGCGCCGGCUAACUACGUG
rnacentral:rRNA from 1 species